CGGCGAACGGGAGAGUAACGCGUGGACUACCUACCCCCAGGUCCGGGAUAAUGGCCGAAAGCCAGGUAAUACCGGAUGAUGUCUUCGGACUAAAGGUGUGAUUCCGCCUAGGGAUGGGUCCGCGUCCUAUUAGCUUGUUGGUGGGGUAAUGGCUUACCAAGGCGACGAUGGGUACCGGGUGUGAGAGCAUGACCCGGCUCACUGGGACUGAGACACUGCCCAGACACCUACGGGUGGCUGCAGUCGAGAAUCUUCGGCAAUGGACGCAAGUCUGACCGAGCGACGCCGCGUGCGGGAUGAAGGCCUUCGGGUUGUAAACCGCUGUCAGUUGGGAGGAAAUCUAGUGGGGUUCUCUCCACUAGUUGACCUAGCUUCAGAGGAAGGACGGGCUAAGUUCGUGCCAGCAGCCGCGGUAAGACGAACCGUCCAAACGUUAUUCGGAAUCACUGGGCUUAAAGGGUGCGUAGGCGGCCAUGCAAGUUGGGUGUGAAAUCUCUCGGCUCAACCGAGAAACUGCGCUCAAAACCGCAUGGCUUGAGGGAGUCAGAGGUGAGCGGAACUUAGGGUGGAGCGGUGAAAUGCGUUGAUAUCCUAAGGAACACCAGUUGCGAAAGCGGCUCACUGGGUCUCUACUGACGCUGAGGCACGAAAGCUAGGGGAGCGAAGAGGAUUAGAUACCCUCGUAGUCCUAGCCGUAAACGUUGAGCACUUGGUCGGAGAAUCCUCCAUAGUUUUCCGGCCGUAGCGAAAGUGGUAAGUGCUCCGCCUGGGGAGUAUGGUCGCAAGGUUGAAACUCAAAGGAAUUGACGGGGGCUCACACAAGCGGUGGAGGAUGUGGCUUAAUUCGAGGCUACGCGAAGAACCUUAUCCUGGUCUUGACGGGUACAACGUGCACAGGUGCUGCAUGGCUGUCGUCAGCUCGUGUCGUGAGAUGUCGGGUUAAGUCCCUUAACGAGCGAAACCCUUGUCACUAGUUGAACGAGANUAAUGUCGGGGACUCUAGUGAGACUGCCGGUGUUAAACCGGAGGAAGGUGGGGAUGACGUCAAGUCCUCAUGGCCUUUAUGACCAGGGCUGCACACGUCCUACAAUGGCGCGCACAAAGCGACGCAAACUCGCGAGAGCAAGCAAAUCGCAAAAAUCGCGCCCCANUUCGGAUUGCAGGCUGCAACCCGCCUGCAUGAA
rnacentral:rRNA from 1 species